GACGAACGCUGGCGGCGCGCUUAACACAUGCAAGUCGAACGGAAAGGCCUGCUUUCCCUUGUGGAUUGCGGGUACUCGAGUGGCGAACGGGUGAGUAACACGUGAGUGAUCUGCCCCCAACUUGGGUAUAAGCCUGGGAAACUGGGUCUAAUUCCCGAUAGGACUGCAGGGUGGUGCCUGUGGUGGAAAACGAUUUUCUAGUGGUUGGGGAUGAGCUCGCGGCCUAUCAGCUUGUUGGUGGGGUAAUGGCCUACCAAGGCGGCGACGGGUAGCCGGCCUGGGAGGGUGGACGGCCACAUUGUGACUGAGAUACGGCCCAGACUCCUACGGGAGGCAGCAGUGGGGAAUAUUGCACAAUGGGCGGAAGCCUGAUGCAGCGACGCCGCGUGGGGGAUGACGGCCUUCGGGUUGUAAACUCCUUUCGACCGCGAGGAAGCCACCUGGUUGGAAGGGUGGUGACGGUAGUGGUAGAAGAAGCACCGGCUAACUACGUG
rnacentral:rRNA from 1 species